UACGUAGGUGGCAAGCGUUGUCCGGAUUUAUUGGGCGUAAAGCGCGCGCAGGCGGUCCUUUAAGUCUGAUGUGAAAUCUUGCGGCUCAACCGCAAGCGGUCAUUGGAAACUGGGGGACUUGAGUACAGAAGAGGAAAGUGGAAUUCCACGUGUAGCGGUGAAAUGCGUAGAGAUGUGGAGGAACACCAGUGGCGAAGGCGGCUUUCUGGUCUGUAACUGACGCUGAGGCGCGAAAGCGUGGGGAGCAAACAGG
rnacentral:rRNA from 1 species